rnacentral:rRNA from 1 species
AUUGAACGCUGGCGGCGUGCUUAACACAUGCAAGUCGAUCGGUAACGCGGGGGCAACCCUGGCGACGAGAGGCGGACGGGUGAGGAACGCUUGGGAAUCUGCCUAUCAGCGGGGGACAACACGGGGAAACUCGUGCUAAUACCGCAUACGCUCUACGGAGGAAAGCCGGGGACCGCAAGGCCUGGCACUGAUAGAUGAGCCCAAGCCGGAUUAGCUAGUUGGCGGGGUAACGGCCCACCAAGGCGACGAUCCGUAGCUGGUCUGAGAGGACGAUCAGCCACACUGGAACUGAGACACGGUCCAGACUCCUACGGGAGGCAGCAGUGGGGAAUAUUGGACAAUGGGGGAAACCCUGAUUCAGCGACGCCGCGUGGGUGAAGAAGGCCUGCGGGUUGUAAAGCCCUUUCGGUAGGGACGAAAGCUCUCGACCUAACACGUCGGGAGGUUGACUUAACCUACAAAAGAAGCACCGGCUAACUCUGUGCCAGCAGCCGCUGUAAGAC